rnacentral:rRNA from 1 species
UACAGAGGUCUCAAGCGUUGUUCGGAAUCACUGGGCGUAAAGCGCACGUAGGCGGCUUGUUAAGUCAGGGGUGAAAUCCUGGAGCUCAACUCCAGAACUGCCUUUGAUACUGGCGAGCUUGAGUCCGGGAGAGGUGAGUGGAACUGCGAGUGUAGAGGUGAAAUUCGUAGAUAUUCGCAAGAACACCAGUGGCGAAGGCGGCUCACUGGCCCGGUACUGACGCUGAGGUGCGAAAGCGUGGGGAGCAAACAGG